rnacentral:lncRNA from 1 species
UUGAAUAAAAACUUUGGAGAUAAAAAAUAGAGAUUGUGACUUCUUGGCCUUUUGACUAAGAUCAAGUGUAAAGGAUAGAGAUUAAAUAUCUUUUGGCAGUUGAGGCUUUCCACAAUCUAAAUUUACCUUGUCUUCUGUUUCCUUGUGACAUUACCACCUCACCUUAUUCCCCACUGUGUUUCUGCCUGAACCAAGACCAACUGGACCUGUCUGCUCACUAACAAACAUGUUAUUUACUUUCCCUCCUUCUAUUUCUCAACCCUGCAAAUUCUUACUACUCCUCCUUGUUAAUCAAAUCCUAGCAACUUUUUUGAGACUUGGGAUGUUCUACGUUUUGCCGAAAGCCUUCCCCCACCUAAUCUAACUUAUGCUAAUUUUCUCCUUUCUCAGAGCCUCUCCUAGCAUUUAUGACCUCUGGUAUGUAUUUUGACAUGUUUCCUUACUAUUAAACGUUAUUACUGAUCUUAUCAUGGGUGUAUGUCUGGACAAAAAUAAGACCAUUUUACAUUUAUUUUGCAUCCUCUACAGCACCUGGUAGACACUGUGUGUAUGUUAAGCACAUAAUCAGCACCCGUGGACUGAAUUUGCCCACUUGUUUCCUAGUGCCUUUCAAAGACAACCUGGUUUUGCCUUUUCUUUUCCAUUCAGGAGCUAAUUCUAUCCUCACGUGUCUGUCCUACCAAUACAGCCCUCUCUCCCUAAUAGAGGGUCCAGGGCCCCCAUUUAUCCUGUUCUCUUUGCAGCACUUUGUAGCAGAUCAGCUGUGUUUCCACAUUUGUUCUUUGUUUUCUUACAGUGGGCUACUUAAAUAGUCCAUAACUUCUGCUCCAUACAGGCACGGGCUGCAGAACAAGAGGCCUGUUGGAAUUGCCAUAACCAAAGAGAUUGUGUAUAUUGUGGGGGCUGGGGAGUGGGUAGAAACUCACAGAAAGCAGUAUGGUGAAGGGUUUUGGUGUCUGGUAUACACGCAGGCUCUGGGACAGUUUUGGAGAUAGGUCUGGAAAUUGGGUAUAUGUGACGGAGAUGUAUGGCCAAAGGCAAUUUCAUAAACAACUAUAAAGUCAACAAACCCACAAAUUUGCUUUUAGAGCUAAAGUUAAUAUUAUGCAGUUCAGUCUCUCUUUUUUACACACAAGAAAACUAAGGUCCAAAGAGGUACUUGCAAAUAGUAGAUAAUAAAUAUUAGCUGAUUGCAAAUAAUCUAAUCAAGUCAGUCUUUAGACAGAUUCAUUCUUUAUGGUAUUUAAUGUCAGAACGAACUAGUCUUGGUUUUAGUCAGCAAUUCAAGACUAAAUCAUACUUGUCAGCAUGAUAACUAAACAGGACCCAUCAAGGGAAUCUGGCUUUGCUGACACCUUGAUUUCAGACCAGUGAACCUGACUUAGGACAUCUGACCUCCAGAACUAUAAGAAAAUAAAUGUGUGUUGUUUUAAGCCAUCAAGCUUCCUGUAACUUGUUACAGCAGCCCUAGAAAAUAUACAGUGACCUUAGAGAUUCUUCAAGUAAAGGUAAACUUCAGUAAUAUCUUUAUCUCAAUAGCACUGGAAAAUCAGAUAAGCCAUAUUAAUUAUGUUUUUUAAUGUUAUCAGAUGUGGGCCACCAGCCUUAAGCCAGAGGGAGCUUUGUAAGACAGGAACAUAUAAAAUGAUAAAAGCUUCUCUACGUACAGUUUUCCUGACUCUGAUUCUGCGUGGGACAACCAGUGAAAAUUGCAGGUGAAGAGAAGAAAUGCGUAUUUAUUCCUCCACUGGGAAAAAAAAUACCAUCCAAAGCUACAUGACUUGAGAGACAAGGUCUCACUAUGUUGCCCAGGCUGGCCUCGAACUCCCGGGCUUCAGCAGUCCUCCCGCCUCACCCUCCGAUGUAGCUAGGACUACAGGACCGCGACCCGGCGCUGCCUAAGAACUGUUUUUAAACGUGAAAGCCACGGCUAUCAUUUGCUUUUUGCUCUGCUCUUCAUCUUCUGGAUAAACCUCGUAACACACUGCUUGUUUUGGGUGGUAGUCUGCUGCCUACGCCCCGUCAGACAAGUGGCCUGAGUCCCCCGCAACCCCUGCAGGUCCGGCCGCCGGCGCCAAGCCUCAAGGCAUCCAAGCCAGGAACGAUCGCGGUCAGCUCUGCCACGGAACAUGUGCAAGACCCGGCAGCAGGUUCCGGGGGAGGCGAAUUGAUUUCACAACGGUCGAGAAGGAGGACCCCGCCCACUUCGUCAUUUCUCGGAAGCCCAGGGACUCGCCGGAAGAGCGGCUCAAAAGCCGGAAAACUGGCAAAUCCGAGUCUCCCGGCGCAUGCGCGGCGCAAUCGGCUUCGCGUGGUUGCAGUAGAGAGGAUCCCUCCGCCAGCCACUGCAUCCGGCGGCCGGAUCUAACUUACCCGCUAGCGUUUUACCCUUGCGCGGCCGUGGCGUAGGGCGGUCUUUUCCCUUGGUCCUCCGCGGCGCCGCCUCUUGUGACGUAAGCCGCAGAAUCCUCUGUCUUAGUUCGGCUCUAUUGCCGCGAGCUUGACUCUUCCUGGGUCUGAGGAAAAGUAAAAGUAAUUUUGUCAUUUCCUGAAACUUCAAGUUAAACCUUUAAGCUGUUCAUUUCCUAAAAGGGUGAAAACGCGGGCACCCCUCGAGCUAGUUCAUCGCCUUUUAACCUGUUGUUGGAUCUUUCCAGAUCACCACACCACAUCACCCAGCCACUCUGCCCAAUGGGAGGGCAGACAGUGUUCCAGUGUAGGAGGAAGGGGUGUAAGGUGCGGGCAGUUUGUGAGGAGGGCACCAACGAGAGCUACUGUGAGAAAGUCUGCAUGGUCAAAAAGUGGAUUACCAAGAACAAAGCAUCAUAAUGUUGUCCAGUGGACCCCAGGUUACAAUUUGGUUUGACUUUGAAACAAAAAGUUAUCAUGUACACAGAAAAGCACAGAAGCAGAGGAGUGGAAUGAAGUGUGAUAUUAGUGAACGAAAGAGCCAACAUUGAAGUGACCACAGUUCCAUAUGGUCUUGCAAAGCAACCACUGAAUGUUUUGCCUAAAAAGGAAGACAUCAACAUGUAAUUAUCAUUAAGACAUGGUAUCAUAGUUACUUAAUGGUACAUAAAAACUGGAGUGUCUUUUUCAAGCACCUAUUAUGUUAAAGGUUCUCUGCUGGUUAAGGUUAUAGGUUUUGUGCUUUUGCACGACAUGUGUGUCUCACAUCAAUUCCACUCUGUGGAUAAUAUUAUCCCCAAACCAGGGAUGAAGGAUGAAUAACUGUCUCAGGUUGGUAAUCUAGUUUUGAUAGAGUGAGGGAUUGACUCUUCACGUGCCCAGAGCCUGUGCCCCUUUCCCUACCUUGGUAGACGUCUUCUGGAUUUUCCAACCCCUUUGUCUUUCAGGAGCAUCUUUGGGAAGGAUUUGUUCCAAAGGAUCUAUACUCUGGUGCUAUUCUGAAACAAGAUGACAGUUUGUUUUUUUCUUGGUUUCUCUUCUAAAAAUUUAGAUUUUGGGAACUGGAAAUCCUUAUUAGGGCAUUUAAACCAUGGUAUUUAUUUGUCUGCAAUGCACUUUGAAUUCAGCUCACAUUCUCUCACCUUAUCUCACAAUUGUUUCCUAAAGUGGGUAAUGCUUCCUUAAACAUGUAAUCCUUAUUUAUGUCUGAGAAUAAGUCAUCACCACAAACAGGUCUGUGGGUACCUAUGGAAAGUAGGUGAGUUGGAGAUGACCCAGUAAAUGCCCCUUGACAUCACCAGCUAAGGAUUUUCUAGAAAGCUCAGUAUUAGAAAAGUAUUGAACAUUUGUUUUUACCAAACUCCAGGUUCUCAAGAAGUAGCUAGAUAAGCUUCUCAUACAUAAACAUUUAUAUUUCCAAUGCUAUCUGGGAGGGAAAAAGAAUAAAAAUUAAAUUAAAAUGAAAGCCACUUCAAUUUCGGUCCAUGAUUAUAAUUUUAUUCAUACCAACAUUUUUAAAGGUUUAAGCAUGUUUAGGAAAGUGGUUUCUUCUUAGAUCGGGAAGAAAUGGCAGCCCUUUUGGGAAAGGCCGGUCUGUGGUAAACUCACCAGCAACCAGGGUGGAAGUGCCAGAAAUAUUCGCGGGAAGCUGAUGAUUCUGAGAUUCCUAGUGUGAUUCUGAACCCAGGAGAAUUUACUUGCAUUGGAAUUAUUGCAUCAUGGAAUGAAACCAAAAAGUUCAUUAUUUACACUUCACACAUUUACUUUUUUUAAGAUCUGGCUCAAAGGCACUGAGAAUUAUGUUGUAGAUUAGAGGCAUCCAGUUAAUUAAAUCACAAGGACUUUGUAGCAAGUAGUAAAAAUAAUUCUUUCCCCACAAAUUGAGCUGAGGGGGCCAUUCUCUUCUUUCUGAGGCCAAACAUUCAGCAUAACCACUGUUUUACCACGAGCUCUCUGCUGUGAAAGGUUUAAGCACACUGUUGGCAUUCAAAUUUUUAAUAGCUAAUGCAAGGUCACCUAAUACUUUGUCAGUGUUUGUCUGUUACCAAUUGUUCCUAAUUGACUAAAACAGCUAGAGUUAUUCACUGACUCUUAAGUAUGGGGCGGUAAGUUUUAAAAGAAUAUUUAGAGAAUCAUUUACAACUAUACUCAUUCUCAUCCUUUUCGUGCCCAACUUCACAGGAGUUGUCUGUCUGCAAGGUUAGUCCCCUAUCUGUUCCCUGAAUGUAUACAUCAAAAUUAAAUUUACCAUCUGCUUAUCUCUCAAAAUGCUGCUUCUGAAUUUUCUAUUUCAGUGAAUAUCAUCAUUAUCAUCAUCUACCAAGUUUCCCAAGCAAGCACCUAGGGAUCAGCAGAAACUCUUUCCUUUCCAUUCCCAUACUCCAACUCCAUCCAAUCCGCCAGUGUUCUGUCCAUUUAACUAAAUCAGUAUUUUUCCUGCCUGUUCAUUUAUCUCUAUUUCCUUUGGUACUACAUCAGUCCAGGUCCUCACUACCUUAGAAGAACCUCCCAAAUGGUCUCCCUGCUACAAUUUUUGAUAUUCUUAUAAUCCAUUCUCUAUACCACUAUUAAGAUUACCUUUCUAAAUGCAAAUCUGCUUAAAACCUUUUAAUGGUGCUUCAUCAUCUUAUUUGUGAUUUUUUUUUCUUUUUUAUCUUUAUUGCUGCCACACAAAUUAAUGCCUCAUCAUGUUAAGGAAAAAGUUUAGACCCUUGGCAUGGAACCAAGUCCUAAAUCCUGUGGUCCUGCAGGCCUUUUCAGCAUGACUCUGAACCAUUUUCCAUACACCCCUUAUGUUUCAACCCUAGGGAAAAGCUUACGUUUUGCAAAUGGACCAUGUUCCUUCUCCCUCUUUUGCAUUUGUAGCGUGGUUCACCCUACUGACCAUUUGCUCCUUGUUUGUCCACAGCAAUCCUACUAGUUCUUUAAGACUAGCUCAUUUUCUAUCACCUCUGGGAAGCAGUGAGGGAGUCCACUCUGAGUUUAAAGUCACUUACAAUGGUGUCUUCUCUUGUGUUUCCACAGGACCCUGUGCAUACCUUCAUCAAGGCACUUGCUGCGUAGCACUUAUAUUUCUGUUGUACGUAUAUGUCUCUUCCACUAAACUUUAAACUUCUUGAAGAGAAAAACUGUGUCUUUUAUCUUUGUAUCUCCAGGCCAAGCAUGGCAACUGUUGCUUAGCACCUGCUCAGUUAAUUGCUGCAGAAUAAAGGAGUUUUAAUCCCUUCCUAUCACUUCUGGAAACUUUACUCAAGCAAAGUCAUUUUUUUCCUCUUUCUUUCUGUAUUUUUAACUCCUUCAUCUUUCCCUUAAUUCUUACUCAUCUUAAAAAGAGCAAGAAAACACUUGCUCCAUCUUAGCCCCUUCAUCGUAGCCCCAUUUUGUUGAAAGAAUAGUCCAAUUAUUGCUUUAAAGUCCAAACCUCCCAUUGACACUUCAGCCUACUAAAAUUUGAUGUUUACUCCCUCACUCAAAUGGAAUUGUUCUUCCCAAUGACACCAAUUGCUUCCUGAUUGUGGAAGUCAGGCUUUAUCUUAAGUGAUUACUCUUCAGGAUUUCAAAUUGUUGCCCUGUUUUUCCUGAAAAAUCCUUAUUAAUUUGGCUUUUGUGACAUUGUUUCUCCUGGUCUACAUAAUCUCUCAACACUAAUCAGAUACACCAGCUGCCUUUACUUAAAUGCUGGUGUCUCAAGGAACCCUUAUUAAUUCUUUUGUCUUCUUAUUCUCUCUGGGUAAUUUCAUCUAAUUUUGCAUCUUUGGUGACUACCUAUAUAUCCAGUGAUCCUGAAUUUUGACCUCCAGAACUCUAUUUCCAAUGUGUAAUAAAUUCUGUGACUCACAAUACCCUCAAACUUUACUUGUUAAAAUGGAAUUGUUUCCUUUCGCAAACAUGGCCCCUUUUAUAUUUCCUAUCCUAGUAAGUUAGCAGGAGGGUCAAGGUGUUGACCAUUCAUAAUCUUUCUCCAGGUUUCUAUACUAGACUACAUAA